rnacentral:rRNA from 1 species
AGUGAACGCUGGCGGUAGGCCUAACACAUGCAAGUCGAACGGCAGCACAGUAAGAGCUUGCUCUUACGGGUGGCGAGUGGCGGACGGGUGAGGAAUACAUCGGAAUCUACUUUUUCGUGGGGGAUAACGUAGGGAAACUUACGCUAAUACCGCAUACGACCUACGGGUGAAAGCAGGGGAUCUUCGGACCUUGCGCGAUUGAAUGAGCCGAUGUCGGAUUAGCUAGUUGGCGGGGUAAAGGCCCACCAAGGCGACGAUCCGUAGCUGGUCUGAGAGGAUGAUCAGCCCCACUGGAACUGAGACACGGUCCAGACUCCUACGGGAGGCAGCAGUGGGGAAUAUUGGACAAUGGGCGCAAGCCUGAUCCAGACAUACCGCGUGGGUGAAGAAGGCCUUCGGGUUGUAAAGCCCUUUUGUUGGGAAAGAAAAGCAGCAGGUUAAUACCCCGCUGUUCUGACGGUACCCAAAGAAUAAGCACCGGCUAACUUCGUG